rnacentral:rRNA from 1 species
UACGUAGGGGGCAAGCGUUGUCCGGAAUCAUUGGGCGUAAAGCGUGCGCAGGCGGUUGUGCAAGACAGGUGUGAAAUCCCCGGGCUUAACCUGGGAACUGCACUUGUGACUGCACGGCUGGAGUACGGCAGAGGGGGAUGGAAUUCCGCGUGUAGCAGUGAAAUGCGUAGAUAUGCGGAGGAACACCGAUGGCGAAGGCAGUCCCCUGGGCCUGUACUGACGCUCAUGCACGAAAGCGUGGGGAGCAAACAGG